rnacentral:rRNA from 1 species
GUAGAACGCUGAAGGAGGAGCUUGCUCUUCUGGAUGAGUUGCGAACGGGUGAGUAACGCGUAGGUAACCUGCCUGGUAGCGGGGGAUAACUAUUGGAAACGAUAGCUAAUACCGCAUAAGAGUAGAUGUUGCAUGACAUUUACUUAAAAGGUGCAAUUGCAUCACUACCAGAUGGACCUGCGUUGUAUUAGCUAGUUGGUGGGGUAACGGCUCACCAAGGCGACGAUACAUAGCCGACCUGAGAGGGUGAUCGGCCACACUGGGACUGAGACACGGCCCAGACUCCUACGGGAGGCAGCAGUAGGGAAUCUUCGGCAAUGGACGGAAGUCUGACCGAGCAACGCCGCGUGAGUGAAGAAGGUUUUCGGAUCGUAAAGCUCUGUUGUAAGAGAAGAACGAGUGUGAGAGUGGAAAGUUCACACUGUGACGGUAUCUUACCAGAAAGGGACGGCUAACUACGUGCCAGCAGCCGCGGUAAUACGUAGGUCCCGAGCGUUGUCCGGAUUUAUUGGGCGUAAAGCGAGCGCAGGCGGUUAGAUAAGUCUGAAGUUAAAGGCUGUGGCUUAACCAUAGUACGCUUUGGAAACUGUUUAACUUGAGUGCAAGAGGGGAGAGUGGAAUUCCAUGUGUAGCGGUGAAAUGCGUAGAUAUAUGGAGGAACACCGGUGGCGAAAGCGGCUCUCUGGCUUGUAACU